rnacentral:rRNA from 1 species
CCUACGGGUGGCAGCAGUGGGGAAUAUUGGACAAUGGGCGAAAGCCUGAUCCAGCCAUGCCGCGUGUGUGAAGAAGGCCUUCGGGUUGUAAAGCACUUUCAGUGGGGAAGAAAGCCUUGGGGCUAAUACCCUCGAGGAAGGACAUCACCCACAGAAGAAGCACCCGCUAACUCCGUGCCAGCAGCCGCGGUAAUACGGAGGGUGCGAGCGUUAAUCGGAAUUACUGGGCGUAAAGCGCGCGUAGGCGGUCUGAUAAGCCGGUUGUGAAAGCCCCGGGCUCAACCUGGGAACGGCAUCCGGAACUGUCAGGCUAGAGUGCAGGAGAGGAAGGUAGAAUUCCCGGUGUAGCGGUGAAAUGCGUAGAGAUCGGGAGGAAUACCAGUGGCGAAGGCGGCCUUCUGGACUGACACUGACGCUGAGGUGCGAAAGCGUGGGUAGCAAACAGGAUUAGAUACCCGUGUAGUC